ensembl:lncRNA NUDT16-DT NUDT16 divergent transcript
GAUGUCCAGAGCCCAGGAACCUUAGGGAAACCAUAAGCAACCUCUGGGUUGGGCUUGCGGCGGGGCGGGGCGGGGCUGAAGGUGUGGCAGCGCCCUGAACCUGGAGAAAGGCUAGUACAUAAACGCCUACGUCAGAAUCUGGAGUCAGCUGGAGUGUGCCAGCAGCAAGAUGGCCCUUACCAGAUGCUGGCACCUUGAUAUUUGACUUCCCAGCCUCCAGAACUGUGAGAAACAAAUUUAUUUUCUUUAUAAAUUACUCAGAUUGUGGUGUUCUGUUACAGCAACACAAAAUGGACUAUGUGAAGAAAACCAUGUUGGAAUCUUGUGCUGUCAUUGAUAAGAAAGGAUCUGAGCAUUAGGUCAAUCACCAAAAAACUGAAAAAUCAGUAACAAUGAUGACAGACUCUUCAAAUAGGAUGAUUUAAAUUUUAGGAAAUUGGAAGAAGACUCCAAGAAACUUAACAAGGUCCUCCAAUAUUUUCCCCAAAAUGAUCUUCUCUGAUUUGACUAUGCUUGUUCCUCCAUAUCUCCCUGAUCCCUAGACUUCUUCUGUCCUCUAUCCACAUUCUCUCCCAAGGAGCCACUCGAUUCGUUUCCUGCUUCUACCCUCACUACUCUACAGUCUAUUGUCAGCUCAGCAGCCACGGCCAUCUGGAGUGAAAAUGAAGUCUGCCCAGAGCUGCUGGAAGCCCCAGCUGCCCUGCUGCCCAUGGAGUCCUCUGAGGACGACUCCAGAGUCCCUCAACUCCUUGGAGGAGAUAAGCAGCCAACACAGUGUUGUUCAGCAGAUGCCACCGUCUGCCAUAUUCAUUAAUGAUGUCAGAAGUGUAAAACUAAAGGCAGAAGACUGUUGUUUUCAAGAUUGCUCCCCAACUAGGCUUGGCGACCCUUGAAGGCAGAGGACCUUUCUGAGUUAUCUUUGUACCCUGCAUAGUCCUGGCACAAAAUAGCACCUAAGUCAUUCAUUUAGCAAAUUUUUUAAAACAAUAUUCCUGUCAUGACACAUUCAGCAAUUAUUUAUUUAUUUAUUUAUUUAUAUUAUUUUUAGAAACAGGGUCUUGCUCUGUCACCCUGGCUGGAGUGCAGUGGUGCAAUCAUAGCUGCAACCUCGACCUCCCAGGCUUAAGUGAUCCUCCCACCUCAGUCUGUAGAAUAGCUGGGACUACAGGAAUACACCACCACAACCCAGCUCAUUAAAAAAAAAAUUCUGUAGAGACAAGGGUGUCUUGCUAUGUUUCCCAGGCUGGUCUCAAACUCCUAGCCUCAAGCAGUCUUCUCAUGCUGGCCCCCCAAAUCACUAGAAGUACAGGCAUGAGGCACCAUGCUUGGCUAUAAGCACAUUUUUAAUGAGCACUUAGUAUGUGCCACAUGCUGCAGAUGUAGCCACAAGCCUCUGACCUCACAGACCUCAUAUUAAACAAGUAAACAAAUAAGGUAAUUUUAGAUUUUUUUCAGUGCUACAAAAUAAAAACAGGGAAAUAGGAGAGAGAGUAGAGAACAGGACUUUGAGAAGAAAGUCUGGAAUCCCCAAGAAGGUGGGUGUCAGAAAAGAGAUUUGGCACAGACCCCGCCCCUUUUUUUUUUUUUUUUUUUAACCACCAGGCCCUGGAAUUUGAACCACCAUCUUCUGGAGUGACUCAAAUGCAGAGGAAGCCAGGCCUGCUGCUAACGUUUCUGAGAGGCGGCAAGAGUAUAAAUGGAGAUCCACAUAUGUAUAAAUAAAGAGUGUGAAUCAAGCUAACAAACUGUUUAAUAAAAUAUGAUCUACCCUCUUAGCUUGACAAAUCAACUUUUCAAACACCUGGAAGAACAAGUUUGCACUCAGGAUUCUCAGACUCCUCAGAGUUCUGCACUGGGAUGUGGAAGGGCUGUGCAAGCCAGCCCUUGGGUCCCUGAUCCCUGUCUCCUGGCCUGUGCCCGUCUCUUCUCAGCCUGGCUCCAACUCCCAUUGAGAGGAAGUUCUUGUACACAUAUGAUACUGCAGCCCUUAUGUCUAAUAUUUAUCCAUACCUUCUGCAAACAGCCACUGUGUGACCACCCUUGGGCUUCCCAGGGGUCUGCAAACUGACAAUACAGACAAAGGGAACCAAGGCAGAGGCUCACAGACUGUAGAAAUGGGCUUGGGGCCAUCUGGGCAGAGACUUGUGGAAUCCCAGGUAAGCAGGGCAUCUUAGUUUGCUUGUGCUGCUUAAAUACUAUGGAAGAGGUAAUUUAUAAAUAUUAGAAUUUAUUUCUCAGAGUUCUGGAGGCUGGGAAGUCCAAGGUCCAGGUCAAGGUGCUAGCAGAUUUGCUGUCUGGUGGGAGCUGCUCCCUCUGCUUCCAAGAUGGCACUUUUUUGCUGUGUCCUCUGGAGGGGAAGAAAGCUUAGACGGGCAAAAGGGGGCAAUUAUCUCUCUGAGACCUCUUUUGUAAAGGUAUUAAUCCAUUCCUGAGGGCUCUGCCCUCAUGACUUAAUCACUUUCCCAAAAUCUCAUCUCUUAAUACUACCUCAAUGAAGAUUAAGUUUCCAUAUGAAUUUUGAAGGGGUCACAUUCAAGCCACAGCACAGAGCAUGACCUAGCAGAGGAGACGCAAGCUCUGGGUGUGUAAGUCCCCUUUGCUCCAUGGACUUCGUGCUUCAUGGGAAGGGAUGUGGCUGGAGGGUACCCCUCUACAGCACAGGGCCCAGAGCACCCCUCUUGCCUUGGGUUUAGGGAUAGUAUAGGUGGUGGUGGUGAGGCUACUUUUGCUCAUUAAGAAAAGCCUCUUUGAGGGGUGGGACCGAGAAUGUCAUUUGAAUGGAAACUUGAAUCAUAAAGAUGAGUCAUACAAGCCAAGACUUGGGAGAAGGGCAUUCCUAAAUGAGAGAAGAGGAUAUGCCCAGCUCUCAUAAGCUCUGAAGAAGAGUCACCAACUGUGGUGGGUGGAGCCUAAUUAAGAGGAGAAGAAUGGUAAGAGACAAGGUGAGAUGGUCAGGCAGGAGCAGGGAGCCUGGAGGUCAGGUAAGGGGGCUUGACUUUGCCAUGGGUGCAAUGGGAAGCCUCUGGAGGGUUGAUAUGAUUUGAAUUCUGUUACAGCACGAUCACUCUGGGUGCUGUGUGAAAUGGAUGAAUAGCAAGGAGCUGCAGCCAAGAGCAAAUCAACAGAAGCACCACUCAAAAUGCCUCAGUACCCAUUACAUAAGGAUUCUUGUGAUUAAUUCUUCCCCAAAAUUUAGAGCCAAGAAAAAUCCAGCUCUCCUACUGAGAGUUGUAGAUUAGAGCUUCUGUUUCUAAUCUACAAACAAACAAAUGUGUGCAAUGUCUUUUCAUGACAAUUCCAACUUUAUCAUAAGGUUGUCUACUAAGAAACUAGUAGGCAGGUUUCUCUUGUUGUCUAGACCACCUGAAAGCUCAUAGCUGAGUUUGCACUUAUUUGCAGAGUAAACUGCUCAUUUAUCAAUCUGGCAUCCAAUCACAACUUUUUAGCUAACUGUAUGUUUUCAUAAACACUUUUCUCACACAGUAUAAAUUUUAAAUAAAUAACAAUAGCAAUUAAGUAGUAACAACUCGAGACUGGUAUCUGACUAGUGGUUCUUUCACCAGUGUGUACACUGGAAGUUUUGUUUUGUUUUUUGAUGUUUGUACAUUGUAAUUGCAGGACAGGUAGUAAGAAGAUUUCAAAUUCACAUUAGCUUUGCUACCACUAAAUUAUGGUGACUGUUCCUAAUUUGCAAACAAAUGUAUGCAAUCUCUUUUUAUGAUUAUCCCAACUUUAUCAUAAGGUUGUUAUAUUUUAAGACAUAUGAAAAGAUAUAAAGUAUAAUACAGUGAAUACAUAUAUAUCUAACUCCCAGUUUAAGAAAUAAAACAUUAGCAAAUACAGCUGAAGCUCCAUGAAUUCCCCUCCCAAAUCAUACUCCCUUCCCACCCGCAGAGGGAACCUCUAUUCUGAGCCUGGUGUUUAUCACCACCAAGAAUUAAAAAAAUACUUUUACUAUAUAUACACAAGUAUGUACCCCUUAGAAAUGAGUAGUAGUACUGUUUUGUAUGUCUUUACACUUUAAGUAAAUGGUAUAAGUUAUUUCUUGUUUUUGCUCAAAAUUGUUGAAAUUUAUGCCCUUUGAUUCUAUAGCUGACUUUCACUGUGAGUCAUUCCAUCAUUAUUUCUGUAUUCAUUCUCCUGCUGAAGUACAUUUCAGGUUGUUGCUAUUCCUCUGCUGAUCCCCCUCCCCCAACACACAUGCUUUUAUUAAUAAAUCUGCUGGAAC